CAAGAACUUUGCUGACCAGAUCAAAGCCCGAUGGGAAAGCUUUUGCCAAAAUGCGCUGUUCUUUGGAGUGUGGAACAAGUCAUUGAAGCCACCAGUGGGUCUGGAUAAAUCAGGACAAGCCAUUGCUUUGUUCAAGGCACUUCCUUCAAUGUUCCCUUCUCCAACGCCCCCACCCAAAAAGCUCGGACCAGCAUGUGAGGCACUGUUCCAUGUUCUUGAGCCAUCUGAGGACCCCAAUAUGUUUCUCCAGAGACGGCCCAUCACCAGUCCGGUCUUCCUGGU